rnacentral:rRNA from 1 species
AGUUGCGAUCAUACCAGCACUAAUGCACCGGAUCCCAUUAGAACUCCGUAGUUAAGCGAGCUUGGGCGAGAGUAGUACUAGGAUGGGUGACCCCCUGGGAAGUCCUCGUGUUGCAACCCC